AAAUUUACAGCUAUAUCGAGCUGGACAAAUGGGAAACAGAUGUACUUAAUUGUUUGGAUGGCUCUCCUUUGCAGUGGCUCCCCCGAAACAAAUUAGAGAACUCAUGCAGGGGGAUGGUCUAACAAAUGAUGAAGUGAAAAGCCAUUUGCAAGUCUAUUAAGUAUUGGAGACGACGGCAAGGUAGCAAAAGCAGAUGAGGAAUCAGAUGGUCAUAGCUGCAAAGAUGGGUUUCAAGAGCCAUAAGAAGAUUGUGCAGACUCUCAUUAAACCCCCAAGAGAUUUCAGAUACAAAUACCCAUUGGGGAUUCAGAAUAUAUGAACAUAUAAUUACUAUUAUUGACACAGAGAGAAGAAUUCAUAAUUUCAUACUAACGUUGUUUUUUGUCCUUUCUUUUCUGGAGGAACUACUUUAGAGAAAGGUGAUAAGGUAGGUUGUUCCUCUGUUUUUGAAGAGGUUUAUGCUAUGGCCAUAGGGGACUGUAUGAACUCUAAAGACAGACGACAGUCUCUUUUUCACAAAGAAUCAUUUGUUUGGUUUUGAGUUGUUGUUCGAUUAUCAAAAUACUGUUUCGUAUUAUGCUAAAGGGGCAUGCAGAUCAUCUUCCAACAGACCCAACAGACAAAACAGAGAGGGCAUAGAGAGAUCCAACAGAGAUUGAAAUCUGCUAGAGAGAGAAAUUAAGAGAGAAACCUGUGAUGAAGAACAGUGAUGACGAACGGCGACCACGAGCUAUGACAACCCACAGCAACCACGAACUGUAAUGACCAACGGCGAUGAAGAAUAGUGAUGAUGAAUGGAGAGGUGGCUAGGGUUUGAGGAGGAGGAGAAGAUUCAAAACAUGAGAUUACACGGUUAUCGGUUUCGACGGGUAUUAGAGUAAACUAACCCGUUAUGCAACUUGAUCCGAUGAACCCGACUUUUUUCGAGUGAGCCACUUUCGGAUCUUGCGGACGGAUCGGCCUAAGGCCAUUUAUGCACAGCCCUACCCAGCACAGUCGAUUUUAGCUCUCACCUAGUUCUUGGGAUCGAUGUUUUGUGCUUGCACCUUAGCAGUUAGAGGGGAACACCUCUCCCAAGUGUUCCAGUCCUCCCCUACCACCCAACGCAGUCAAUUUUAGAUCCCACUUGGUUCUUUGGGGCGAUGCUAUGUGCUCAGGCCUCGACAGUUGCCUCUCCUCCGGCAAACGCCAAGUACCCAUACUUGUGCCAAAGCUACCGCUAAUAGGUUACCUUCGGGAAUGAGCCUCCAAGUUCCACAACCACCUUUGGUAGGCUUCCUUUGAGAACGAGUUGAUGGGCUCGACAACCGCCUAAGAUGCAUCCAGGGGUUCAAAGGUUUCUCUGACCAUUCAAAGUGAGGGUUACUACCAAUAUGCCCCAUUUCCAACAUUUUGCAAAUAGCUUGAUUUAGAGAUUUUCUCAAAGUUCUCUUGGGAGCAAGGCAACCUUAAGAAUCGUGCUGUGACUAGAAAGGAUAAAAGUGUCCCUACAAAAGGGAGAGAGAGAGAGAGGGAGGGAGGGGGGAGUGAGAGGGACAAAGGCUGGGGAUGUGAUAGGAUGUCAAGGGAAAAGGGGAUAUGACAUAAAGGAGGAUGGAGCGAGCAUUAAGUAGGAGGUAGGAAGGAAAAAAAGAGGGAGUAGACAAAAGACUUGGAGAGGAUAGCAACACGACUCUUGGGAUACCGGGAGAGAUAGAGCUUCUUCAAUCUCCAAACGAUGGGCACAAUUUUAUCACCUAUAUAGUGAGCUAAGAGAGGCUGGGAGAGACUGUAAAAUACUCUUAUUUAUAGUGAAUCUGCACUCUAAACGACCCGUAAACAUGGGCUUAGUGUUGAACCAUGUAAA